rnacentral:tRNA from 1 species
GGGCACAUGGUGUAGUUGGUUAUCACAUCCGCUUAGCAUCGGAUAUCUAGUAGUAUUGGUGCAUUUGCGGGGGGUGCUGGGUUCAAUUCCCAGUGUGUCCA